rnacentral:rRNA from 1 species
AUGUCCCGAAUAAACUAUGGUGUCAUCACCCUUAUCCCCAAGAGAGUUGGGGCGACGAUCAGACACUUUAGUCCGGUCUCAGUGAUUAACAUGCUUAAAUUGAUUUUUGCUAAAGUUUGUGCUACAUGGUUGGCCCCUGUGGCAGAGAGGGUCGCUCACCCUUUCCAGACCCCGUUCGUGAAGGGACGGUGAAUCCUCAAUGGGAUCUUGUCUCUUGAUGAAAUUAUCCAUGAGGUGGCAACGCAAGGCCAUAGGGGCGUCUUUCUCAAGUUGGACUUCCAAAAGGCAUACGACCACCUGGAUUGGUACUUAUUGAGGCUCGUUAUCCAACACCGAGGGUUUGAUGAGAGAUGGUGCUCCUGA